CCCUACGGGGCGCACCAAAUAGGUUUAUUGCUGGUCAUGCCGUAAAAAGCAAGAGUUUAAGGGCCAUUGUUGAUUCCAUUCACUCAAGAACGGGAGAGGCAAACCCUAGGUGGGCCGGAGACAAUGUGACGCCCCAGGCAGGACGCAUAAGGGCGCAAAAGAUGUAUUCGGCGUCUAUCUGUGAUCGCUGCGAUAGGGAAGUGCGGGUAUUGCGACACCAUAAGGACAGAAACCCGAGGAACAAUAAUCCCGAUAAUGUAGAAAUGCUUUGUUACUCAUGCCACGGCUACGAACACAGCCCAAAACGAAACGGGAACGCUAAUGGCUAAAAACGCUUCAUCUAUCUUCUAGUGGAACGAUUGGAUGAACGAUACGGAACUUCAACUUGCCUGUGCUUCAAGCAGGGGAAUUUGGGCUAACGCUUUAGCGAGAAUGGCGGGAGAGC
rnacentral:rRNA from 1 species